rnacentral:sRNA from 1 species
AUUGGGAUGUUUGCGCCCACGAAAGGUAACAAACAAGUCAAGGACUUGUAGAUGACAAAGCUUCAAAAUUGCCAACUCUAAUUUGCCGUGCAUACGAAUAAGUACAGUUAAGGCUUAAGCUGCUGCAGGAGUAAUCCAAUGGCUGGACGCCAACAUCUUCGUCUAAUUCUGCACAAUCCAUGGAGCUACUUGUGUUCAAUGGUUCAUCAGCGGGAAUUUCGACGUCAACUGCAGCGCUAAUAGGAGCCACCUGGCCGAACGAGAUAAAUGACCCGGAAGCUGUACAAAACAUUGGCGAAUAAUGGAAAUAAGAUUGCUGUUUCCUUUUACAAAGAAUGGGUUUGCCUCUAUACUUUGGUUCGGGACAAAGCAAUUCCGGCGCAGUAUAUAGCGGACAGCCAAUUUUCUCGGUUAGUGUGUCAUCUUCGGGAUUAUCAAGAAUCAUCGAGCCCUCAAGAGAUUCAUAUUGCAGUUUUGUUCUGAAAAAUAAAAUAAAUUGUACUCAUUAGUUUUCUAUGUUUUCAAGAGUGUUUACGUAAAUUAAAAAGAGUAUUGCAAUAUAUUCUAAUUCUCUUGCUUGUCGUACAGCACAGCAACGCCCAGACAUCUGCAUGUUGUAAUAAAUUCAUUGCCAACACGAUCACUCAUAAACUCAAUCGUAGUAAUACACGACAUUCAGUCAGCGGUGAUCGCAACAACACCCAAAACCUAAAAUUUCAACAAGUAUU